UACAGAGGUCUCAAGCGUUGUUCGGAUUCAUUGGGCGUAAAGGGUGUGUAGGUGGCGCCGUAAGUCAGGUGUGAAAUUUCGGAGCUUAACUCCGAAACUGCAUUUGAUACUGCGGUGCUUGAGGACUGGAGAGGAGACUGGAAUUUACGGUGUAGCAGUGAAAUGCGUAGAUAUCGUAAGGAAGACCAGUGGCGAAGGCGGGUCUCUGGACAGUUCCUGACACUGAGACACGAAGGCCAGGGGAGCAAACAGG
rnacentral:rRNA from 1 species